rnacentral:rRNA from 1 species
GGGUUGUGAGGUUAAGCGACUAAGCGUACACGGUGGAUGCCCUGGCAGUCAGAGGCGAUGAAGGACGUGCUAAUCUGCGAUAAGCGUCGGUAAGGUGAUAUGAACCGUUAUAACCGGCGAUUUCCGAAUGGGGAAACCCAGUGUGAUUUGUCACACUAUCAUUAACUGAAUCCAUAGGUUAAUGAGGCGAACCGGGGGAACUGAAACAUCUAAGUACCCCGAGGAAAAGAAAUCAACCGAGAUUCCCCCAGUAGCGGCGAGCGAACGGGGAGGAGCCCAGAGCCUGAAUCAGUGUGUGUGUUAGUGGAAGCGUCUGGAAAGGCGCGCGAUACAGGGUGACAGCCCCGUACACAAAAAUGCACAUACUGUGAGCUCGAUGAGUAGGGCGGGACACGUGGUAUCCUGUCUGAAUAUGGGGGGACCAUCCUCCAAGGCUAAAUACUCCUGACUGACCGAUAGUGAACCAGUACCGUGAGGGAAAGGCGAAAAGAACCCCGGCGAGGGGAGUGAAAAAGAACCUGAAACCGUGUACGUACAAGCAGUGGGAGCCUCUUUAUGGGGUGACUGCGUACCUUUUGUAUAAUGGGUCAGCGACUUAUAUUCUGUAGCAAGGUUAACCGAAUAGGGGAGCCGAAGGGAAACCGAGUCUUAACUGGGCGUUAAGUUGCAGGGUAUAGACCCGAAACCCGGUGAUCUAGCCAUGGGCAGGUUGAAGGUUGGGUAACACUAACUGGAGGACCGAACCGACUAAUGUUGAAAAAUUAGCGGAUGACUUGUGGCUGGGGGUGAAAGGCCAAUCAAACCGGGAGAUAGCUGGUUCUCCCCGAAAGCUAUUUAGGUAGCGCCUCGUGAAUUCAUCUCCGGGGGUAGAGCACUGUUUCGGCAAGGGGGUCAUCCCGACUUACCAACCCGAUGCAAACUGCGAAUACCGGAGAAUGUUAUCACGGGAGACACACGGCGGGUGCUAACGUCCGUCGUGAAGAGGGAAACAACCCAGACCGCCAGCUAAGGUCCCAAAGUCAUGGUUAAGUGGGAAACGAUGUGGGAAGGCCCAGACAGCCAGGAUGUUGGCUUAGAAGCAGCCAUCAUUUAAAGAAAGCGUAAUAGCUCACUGGUCGAGUCGGCCUGCGCGGAAGAUGUAACGGGGCUAAACCAUGCACCGAAGCUGCGGCAGCGACGCUUAUGCGUUGUUGGGUAGGGGAGCGUUCUGUAAGCCUGUGAAGGUGUACUGUGAGGUAUGCUGGAGGUAUCAGAAGUGCGAAUGCUGACAUAAGUAACGAUAAAGCGGGUGAAAAGCCCGCUCGCCGGAAGACCAAGGGUUCCUGUCCAACGUUAAUCGGGGCAGGGUGAGUCGACCCCUAAGGCGAGGCCGAAAGGCGUAGUCGAUGGGAAACAGGUUAAUAUUCCUGUACUUGGUGUUACUGCGAAGGGGGGACGGAGAAGGCUAUGUUGGCCGGGCGACGGUUGUCCCGGUUUAAGCGUGUAGGCUGGUUUUCCAGGCAAAUCCGGAAAAUCAAGGCUGAGGCGUGAUGACGAGGCACUACGGUGCUGAAGCAACAAAUGCCCUGCUUCCAGGAAAAGCCUCUAAGCAUCAGGUAACAUCAAAUCGUACCCCAAACCGACACAGGUGGUCAGGUAGAGAAUACCAAGGCGCUUGAGAGAACUCGGGUGAAGGAACUAGGCAAAAUGGUGCCGUAACUUCGGGAGAAGGCACGCUGAUAUGUAGGUGAAGCGACUUGCUCGUGGAGCUGAAAUCAGUCGAAGAUACCAGCUGGCUGCAACUGUUUAUUAAAAACACAGCACUGUGCAAACACGAAAGUGGACGUAUACGGUGUGACGCCUGCCCGGUGCCGGAAGGUUAAUUGAUGGGGUUAGCGGUAACGCGAAGCUCUUGAUCGAAGCCCCGGUAAACGGCGGCCGUAACUAUAACGGUCCUAAGGUAGCGAAAUUCCUUGUCGGGUAAGUUCCGACCUGCACGAAUGGCGUAAUGAUGGCCAGGCUGUCUCCACCCGAGACUCAGUGAAAUUGAACUCGCUGUGAAGAUGCAGUGUACCCGCGGCAAGACGGAAAGACCCCGUGAACCUUUACUAUAGCUUGACACUGAACAUUGAGCCUUGAUGUGUAGGAUAGGUGGGAGGCUUUGAAGUGUGGACGCCAGUCUGCAUGGAGCCGACCUUGAAAUACCACCCUUUAAUGUUUGAUGUUCUAACGUUGGCCCCUUAUCGGGGUUGCGGACAGUGUCUGGUGGGUAGUUUGACUGGGGCGGUCUCCUCCUAAAGAGUAACGGAGGAGCACGAAGGUUGGCUAAUCCUGGUCGGACAUCAGGAGGUUAGUGCAAUGGCAUAAGCCAGCUUGACUGCGAGCGUGACGGCGCGAGCAGGUGCGAAAGCAGGUCAUAGUGAUCCGGUGGUUCUGAAUGGAAGGGCCAUCGCUCAACGGAUAAAAGGUACUCCGGGGAUAACAGGCUGAUACCGCCCAAGAGUUCAUAUCGACGGCGGUGUUUGGCACCUCGAUGUCGGCUCAUCACAUCCUGGGGCUGAAGUAGGUCCCAAGGGUAUGGCUGUUCGCCAUUUAAAGUGGUACGCGAGCUGGGUUUAGAACGUCGUGAGACAGUUCGGUCCCUAUCUGCCGUGGGCGCUGGAGAACUGAGGGGGGCUGCUCCUAGUACGAGAGGACCGGAGUGGACGCAUCACUGGUGUUCGGGUUGUCAUGCCAAUGGCACUGCCCGGUAGCUAAAUGCGGAAGAGAUAAGUGCUGAAAGCAUCUAAGCACGAAACUUGCCCCGAGAUGAGUUCUCCCUGACCCUUUAAGGGUCCUGAAGGAACGUUGAAGACGACGACGUUGAUAGGCCGGGUGUGUAAGCGCAGCGAUGCGUUGAGCUAACCGGUACUAAUGAACCGUGAGGCUUAACCUUACAACGCCGAAGGUGUUU